CGUAGAUAGGAUUUGAACCUAUGAUCUAAAGAUUAUGAACCUUUCGAGUUACCAAAUUGCUCCACUACG
rnacentral:tRNA from 1 species